UACGAAGGUCCCGAGCGUUGUUCGGAAUCACUGGGCGUAAAGGGAGCGUAGGCGGUAUGGUAAGUCAGAUGUGAAAUCCCGGGGCUCAACCCCGGAACUGCAUCCGAUACUGCCGUGCUAGAGGGUUGGAGAGGUAGCAGGAAUUCACGGUGUAGCAGUGAAAUGCGUAGAUAUCGUGAGGAAGACCAAUGGCGAAAGCAUGCUACUGGACAACACCUGACGCUGAGGCUCGAAGGCCAGGGGAGCGAAAGGGAUUAGAUACCCCUGUAGUCCUGGCAGUAAACGGUGCGCGCUUGGUGUGAGGGGAUUCGACCCCCCUCGUGCCGGAGCUAACGCGUUAAGCGCGCCGCCUGGGAAGUACGGUCGCAAGACUAAAACUCAAAGAAAUUGACGGGGACCCGCACAAGCGGUGGAGUAUGUGGCUUAAUUCGAUGCAACGCGAAGAACCUUACCAAGGCUUGACAUGCAUCUCUAAGCGCGUGAAAGCGCGUGACCCUUCGGGGGAUUUGCACAGGUGCUGCAUGGCCGUCGUCAGCUCGUGUCGUGAGAUGUUGGGUUAAGUCCCGCAACGAGCGCAACCCUUGUGACUAGUUGCCAGCGGGUAAUGCCGGGAACUCUAGUCAGACUGCCCAGAUCAACUGGGAGGAAGGUGGGGACGACGUCAGGUCAGUAUGGCCCUUACGCCUUGGGCUGCACACGUACUACAAUGCCCAGUACAAUGAGAACCGAGACCGCGAGGUGGAGGAAAUCUACAAAACUGGGCCCAGUUCGGAUUGGAGGCUGCAACUCGCCUCCAUGAAGUCGGAAUCGCUAGUAAUGGCGCAUCAGCUACGGCGCCGUGAAUACGUUCCCGGGUCU
rnacentral:rRNA from 1 species